GACGAACGCUGGCGGCGUGCUUAACACAUGCAAGUCGUACGGUAAGGCCCUUUCGGGGGUACACGAGUGGCGAACGGGUGAGUAACACGUGAGUAACCUGCCCACAACUUUGGGAUAACGCUAGGAAACUGGUGCUAAUACUGGAUAUGUGCUCCUGCUGCAUGGUGGGGGUUGGAAAGCUCCGGCGGUUGUGGAUGGACUCGCGGCCUAUCAGCUUGUUGGUGGGGUAGUGGCCUACCAAGGCGGCGACGGGUAGCCGGCCUGAGAGGGUGACCGGCCACAUUGGGACUGAGAUACGGCCCAGACUCCUACGGGAGGCAGCGGUGGGGAAUAUUGCACAAUGGGCGCAAGCCUGAUGCAGCAACGCCGCGUGCGGGAUGACGGCCUUCGGGUUGUAAACCGCGUUCAGCAGGGACGAAGCUUUUUGUGACGGUACCUGCAGAAGAAGCACCGGCUAACUACGUG
rnacentral:rRNA from 1 species